CCCACAAAAUGAUGAGUCAUGUGGAGCUGGUUGUUUCCUUGAGAAUAGCAAGGAGGAGGUGAAAAUCAUCUUUUGAAUUCAAGAGCCCAGGAGUGCCACGUGUGAAUUUAAUUUUACAGCAGAACCCAAGGCACAAAGUUCCCCCUGGUGCUUGAAGAGGAUCAGGAACUGCUUGGAGGACUCAGGAAUCCCACCCAAACCUGGAGCCAUUCCCCCAACAGGCACUCUGAAAUUGCCAUCAGCAGAAGCUGUUUAAAAAGGAGUUGAAUUUGCAGGAAAGGACUCAGAAGGAGCUGCAGCCUCCCCAGUUUCCUUCUGCAGUGAAAGCUGCCUGAGCUGAGGCUGCUUUGGCCUGCAUUAAUAUUUACAGACCUGGUUUAUGGAUCUGAGGAUUGAUUUAGCACGAGAGUAAUGCAGGGGAGCAGAUGAACCAUGGGAAUGGUGAGCUCUGCUUUGCUGAGAUUCAUAAAUCCAAAAGCCACGCUGAGGUGAAGAGCUUUCAGAGGAGCAGCACCUAAUGGCUGAGAAUCACUGGAUGUCUCAAGUCUUAAACAAGUUGGAAACUCAUCUUUCACAGCUGAAUCUCUGCUGGAGCUCUGAGCAGUUCUGAGGCCGUGGUGUCCCCUUGGAUGAAGGAGGAAACACCAACAGGGAUCAAGAGUAGCUUGAACAUCUCAUCAACCAGAGAAAUCCCAUCUAGAGGUAGAGAGAAGUUCCUGGCUGGCUCCUUUACACAGUGACCACACACCCUGGUCUGGUGCUCAGCCAGCUGGAAACAAGAGGGUACAGAAAGAUAUUUUUUUUAAUUAUGUGCAACUUUCAUUUGACAUCUUGGGCUCUCUAGCAAAAAACAAAAAUGAAAUUAAAAUACCUUCAAAAAAAACAACAUUCUCAAUAACUCCUUGAGAGCACCCAGUGCAAACCCUGCUCAAAGAGGGGGAGACAGAGCCAUUGCUCAGGAUUGUGUCCAUCCAGGUUUGAGCAUCUCCCAGAAUCAUUAAGGAGGUGUUAACACGGCUGAACAGCUGCUACAGCCAGAAAGCAAUUACGGUUUCAGCAGGACAUGGUUUGCUUAACAAGGCCUUCCCAUCUUUCCUGAUGACUGCUGGAACAGAGCGGGGAUUUAGGAGGAGCAGAAGAAACAGAAUUGGUCUCUUUAAAUAAUUACAAACUUCUUCAUCCCGUGUAGUGCCUGCACAAUGUAGAACCUGGUGAUGGAGCAAGGUCUCAGAAGGGAUUUAGGGAAAUGUUGAGUCUGGUGAUGAACACCCAGUGCAAAAUUUCCCCCCAGAUAUCCCAGCUGGAAUUCCAGCAGGAGCUCACCCCAAGCUCUGCCACGUUUGGUGUGGAGGAGCAGAUGCCCAAAGCUGCUCCAAGAGCAGCGCUUGCUGUUGGAUUUGUAACUGAGUGGUUUCUGCUUGGGGAGCUGUGAGUACAUCUCUUCUGUUAUUGGAGAUAACAAAUAUCUGUUAAUAUUGCACUUAAAUUUAGGUCUUUGCAUAUUUAACAACUCUAUUAGGUUAAAUAUGCAAACAAUAGCACUUACUUAUUCUGGAUUUACUUCAUCGCUAAAAUAUUUGUGCUCCAAACCUGGGAUAUUUUACAGGUUCUGAGAUUGACUUUGCAGACAGCUUGUCAGUGAGUGGGGGUUGCUUGUGUGGCCUGGUGAGAUGUUUCUGACAAUCUGUUGCCAGAAUAUCUGUCUAUCAAUAAGUUUAUCAGCAGUCUUCAUUUAUUAAAGAGAAAAUUAACAGCUA